rnacentral:lncRNA from 7 species
UGGCAGCCAACUGUGUACAGUCCACACAUGUACGCCUGAAUGCUCAGUCACACGCACAAUAAAAAUAAUCCAUUACAAACAGACCCUAAAGCAGAAGAAAAUCCAACAUUGUUCCCUGCUUAAAGAGACAGCACAAAAGCACAUACUCCUGCCUAGGUUGUUUUGUCUUUUUCUAGGUACAUAGCUUUUGCUAUGCACCUGGAUAUACGAUUAUACACUAUCUAGAACUAUAGAUACAUAAUAAAAAUAUAUGUAUCUAGAAAAGGCAAAACGACCUAUAAUUUGAAAUGGAGGGAGUAUUAAGGAAAUAAACUAUUUAGCAUUCGCUAAAUUGUUAGAAAGAUAUAUCAUGAACAUUAUCACAAUAUUCACCACGUGGUGGAAUAUUAUGUCUCAGUACCUAUGGUUCCUUUCUUUAAAGUACUAACCAGUUUAGGUUAUUGAUGCUGUCUUCCAUAGUUCCAUACUUGUUGGCAGUUGUUCCGUAUUUUCUUGAACAUGCUAGAGACGUGUGCACCAUUAUAUUAAAGGAAGGUGGGGUAAGAACCUUUAAAAAUACCCACAACCACACAUGCUAGAGACUCUUAGAUUACAUUCACACGCUUGAUUAUCAAAACAACAAACUCAACCUACGCAACUAACCUCAAUCUGUUGCAAGGGAAAAGAGAUAUGGAAUUCAUCGAGCCCUGGACAUACUUCAUAAGUACAUUUUCUUACUAGCUAGCAGAAGCGCUUCAGCUAGGUUUGGAGAAAUACCAUAAAAAUGCAUCAACUGAUAUUCUUUUAAAUCGACCAAGACCCUAAGAUGACAAGGGAAUCCCUUCUUCAACCUGACCAUCUGUUGCUUCACUUGCACUUAGGAUAUGUUAGGUAGGUAUUCAGAUUCUAAACGUUUUAAAUCCAGAUUCUCUCAAGAUGAUGAAUCAUAAUCACUUCACACUUCAUAAAACUAUUUCGCUGUUAACUGGAUUCUUCUCAAACAAAACUUUAAUAAAAAAUCAUAUAAUAAAAGUAUGCUAUAAGAAUUUCAUUUUUUUUGUGGACGAACAACUCCAACUAACCCAUUUUAACUUGUUACACUAGAAAAGGAUUUAUGAAAAAAAUAAUCGCUACUAGAAAAGGGAGGGGCGGCGGGGGUGGAAUUAGGAUCACUAGAGGGUAGAGACCAGCCUUUGCCAUCUUCGUGGUCACAUACAAAACAAGAAACAUUUCGGCUCCGAUUCUAUCGCCAGAAAUUCUGUUUGCCGUUGUUUCUAGUGUUUCUCAGUAGAAAUGGAUCUGUUUCUCUAUUCCAAACAGCCUUUAUAAGAAAAACUUGCUGAACAUUGUCUAGAAUUAGAGAAUUGCCAAAUACAAGAAUCAUCCUCCACUGGCUGCAGCAACACGUAGGCAAGGAGAUUUCAUGAAUAAAGGUAUUCGUCAACGACAUUAGCAGAUAGAGCUCCCUGAAUGUCAGAGACCCAUUUUUUGUCUAUUAAAGCAUCUACAACUGUUCUCUUGUUUGCUCUACGUUUAGACACAUGUGCAAAGACAUGGUUGCAGGUUCAACUGUUAUUCGGCCAUGGAUCCAUCUAUUUGUGGAGAAAAAAAACAUGGAAAGAUUGAUGAAGGUGAAUUAGAAAGAUUGUCCAGGGUCGGUUAGGCUCUGUUUUCUGUAACUAUAGCAAACCGACCUCAUUCGAAGUGCCCAACCCAAGUUUUGAAGAUUUGAAAUACCAACCUACAAUACUAUUUACUAUGUCCACUUUUCGUGUUCUUCCCUUGCAAGGAAAGCCCGUUUGUAUCUUAUCAAAUAACCUUAAUGGCUCAUCGCGGAAGAUCCAAAGCCAUGUCUGAGUAUACUAACAUAGAUGAGUACAUAUUGAACCAAAACUCUCUGACCGACCUGAGACAAUUGGUUCACUUUCCAGCUAAAGAAUUGACCAGCUAUUCAUACAAUGAUAGGAGAGGGGCAAUACAUGCAUGCCUCGGACUCUUGGUUCGUGACCUGCAGACCUGGUGACUCAAUGAGACAGCUGUCACCGCUUCACCGGGCCUGCCAUUCAGCUAUAAUAUUAAUUUAAUUUUCACUGACAAAUUCAAGUACUUCAAUGUAUAGCAGUUUGUAGGAACAGAAAAUCUUUGUUUGGUAUUCUGGCAAUGAGUGUCAAAUUUGUAGCAUGUUUGUUGAGGUUUGUAGCAUAUAUUUUUUCUCCACAGAUAAGUCAAGCCAGUUGUUGGAGAUGCCUCAGGAAGAUAUUAAUCCACUGAAUCAGGCUCAGAUGCAUGGUGGAAGCACUAAGGUAGAUUCUUAUAUACCCUAGACGAUGUUCUCUUGAAUCACUGUUGCUGUAAAUAACCUAGUCAAGAGCUUUAAUUUUUACACUGUUAUAUAGAUAAAUACCACUCCAUGUAUUAUGAGCAUCCUUGAUGGUGCAGAAGAUUAAUUUAGCUAUCCUGAGUAGCAAGGAAAUAUUUGCUCUCACAACCCAAUAGCAAAGUUAGACAAGGAAUCCAAACUAGCGUUCUGAGCUUCUGUCCUGUUAGCAUGUUUAGGCAAGAAUUGAUAAGGGAGAAAUGCCAAUAUAUUUAAUAAUAAAUUCAAACCGCUAAAGUUGGCGAGCACUUGAGCAGCAAUGAUCAUCACUGAGGGAUGAGUUAGGGUAUGGUCAGCAGAUCAUGGACAUGGCCAUACAAAAUAUUGUUUUGCACUGUAGACUGCACUGUUUAUAUAGUGGAGUUUGAAAUAGAAGAUGAAGGUGAGUAAGCUCUAAGCUACUGGAGAUAACCUUAGCGCGUUUAGUUCACUUAGUGGUACCUAAAUAUAGUCACAUCUCAUCUGAACAUUUGAUGCCAUCCUUUAUAUGCUUCUAUUUACAUGAGCAUAGGUGAAGCAGCAACCGUCAGGGAUGUAGUUAUUUUACCCUGUGUGCAAUUCUUCGUCACAUUUUUUGUUGUAUAAGAGCAAGUAUAAUAAGAUGAUGUAGGCGGGCUACAAGAGAUACCAUGUUAGAUUUACGAUGACAUGGGAGAAAGAGAAAUGAAGAGGGGAGGAAAGCGGGCUGCUCACUAGUAGCCAGCUGAAAGCAUCACAAACUCUAAGACAGUUUGUGAGAGAAAGAGUUGGACCCAUUAUUAAAUGUACAACUUAUAUCAUUAGAGUUAUUAUAUGAAUAGGCUUUUAGUUGGCUAUAUGUGAUAUGACAACAUCAUAAAGCCCGUCAUUAGAUAUAUUAUUAACCUUGCUCUAAUACUUCCUCUGUUCUCAAAUGUAGGGCGUAUUAGGAUUUUCCAAAGCAAAUUUUUUCUAUCAAUUGCUCAAAGCAUAUGUAUGUUUAGAUCACAGCAGAUGCAUCAACAGAUUUUGUUAACAGAAAUUAAUUGUCAAAUUAUACCUUAAUUUUUCCCAAAAUACUAAAACGCUUUAUUAUAGAAAUAAAUGAUAAGUUCCAGAAAUUCCAUCCAUGUCUUCUUUGAACUUUCAGAAAUCGGCACCUGAUCUAUCCCCGACCAAACAGAAGAAGCAACAGGCAGUUCAAGAAAGGAAAAGGAAGCAACAGUCAAAGAGGGGCAAGAAAGUGGCUGGUAUUACUUCUUCUAAUUCUACUUUAUAUUUAUACUUUGUUACUCCCUCCGAUUCUAUGUAUACUUGGCUCGUCAAUAUCAAUAUUGUAUAAAAAUUACAUAGAUUGACUAAUGGCUGGUGUUACUAGAUUCAUCAUGGAAAAUAUCGUCAUAGUAUCUGACUUUCUUUGUUUAAUAUUAUAUAGUUAUACAGAAAUUGUAAAUCAAAGUGCUAAAUGACUUGUAUCUGGAACCAGGAGGGGCAGUUUCUAAUGCAUAAUGCAUGUGCACCACGAGGAUUCUUGUAAUACCAUCAUUCAGUUAUUAAUUGGCCAUUACUGUUGAUUGUUCUUAGCUAGGCUGAUACCUGCAUGGGUGUAUUAGAGAUGUUCGGGGGUCUUUAAAUAAGCAUAAUCAUGCUUUUGUUGUGUUUGAUCAAUCAUGUUCCAUUUCUUCCAUGUACCACUAGAUUAAAUCUUAUACAAGGGCAGCAUUUUUAGAGCAUGUUUUGGAUCCUAUACCCAACAACCUUGCCAGCGAGAAUAGCAAAGAUGAUCGGAUGCUUCUCUUACCUACUUUUGGGCUAGGAUUUCCUUGCGUUCAAGGGACACAUCACUCCUUUACUAGCGAGGUUUUCUUAUGGGGAAAACUGCGUAUAUACAGCUGAAGGUCAUCAUCACCUGGCCAACCUGGGCCUUAUUCUCUGUUUUUUUUUUUCAUUUCUUGGUGGCAUACCUUUGUAUUUGAUUAUUCUCUUAUCUACUUAGCUUUGUUAAAUUACUUGAUUAUGUAUAACGGCUUAAUCUUUUUGUCUAGAGUGAUGAAGUGUAUUUUCUUUACAGGUGAAUCCCUGGAAAUACCCCAAACAAAUUUUGAAUCGGAGAAUCAACCUCAUAAUGACGAUGUCAACAUUGAGGUAGACUUCUUUUUUAGCUUCUAUACUGAAAUUCUUGUCUUAAAAUCUUAUGAAGUAAUAUACUGAGAGUGGCCAAAAAAGGUAGUUUUUUUUCUCGUUUACCAUGAUAAUCAUGCAUUAUUCAGGGCAUGAGGGAUGAGUGGUCAUGUCGAACUUUGUAGAUGUGGUCAGACUAUGACUUGUGUAGGGCCCUAUUUUUUUUUAUUCAAGUUGCAUGCACUGACGAGCACAGGAGUCAGCAACAAACAUAGAUAUUCCACGCACCUUUUUAAUAAUGUGCGUGUUUUACUCUGAAGCUCGACAUUCAUACGCUUGUUUGGUUUUUCAGAAACAGACAAUUACGAGUAGCACACUCUCACCAAAUGGUGCCAAGGGGCAAAAGGGAGCUCAAAGGAGAAA